rnacentral:rRNA from 1 species
AGUUUUGAGCUAAAUAUACUUAUAAUAUUAGUUUAUUUAUGAAGGUGUUGUAAAACCUUAUUAAAAAUUAUAUUUAGGGGUGAUAGGCCUUUCAAAAACUAAGAUAUCUUGAAUCUAAUUAAAAGUAUGUAGUACAUUCAACACAACUAUUAAGUGAUUAGGCUUUAUAGAACUAUUAACUUAUAAGGAUUUUUAUUUAUUAUAAUUUAAUAAUUAAGUAUAUAAAUAGAAUAAUAUACAUAUAUUAUAGUUUAUAAGGAGUAAUUAGAUAAAUUAAAGUUCAUAAAUUUUGUAAUAAUGUUAAUAUUAGUAUUAAGUUUAUAUUUAUAUGAUGAACUCGGCAAAAAUGUUUCUCAACUGUUUAUCAAAAACAUAACUAUGUGUAUAAAUACAUAGCGGUUUCUGCUCAA